rnacentral:rRNA from 1 species
GGCCUGGCCGGGCGGUCCGCCUCACGGCGCUGUACUGUCUGGCCGAGCCUUACCUCUUGGUGAGCCGGCGUGCCCUUCGCUGGGUGCGUCGGGGAACCAGGACUUUUACCUUGAGAAAAUUAGAGUGUUCAAAGCAGGCCAUCGCCCGAAUACAUUAGCAUGGAAUAAUGGAAUAGGACGUGCGGUUCUAUUUUGUUGGUUUCUAGAGUCGCCGUA